rnacentral:lncRNA from 1 species
UGUCAUCUUUUUUUCUUUCCUCUUUGUUUUUUUUUCAAUCAUCAUGCUUUUCAGCUAUAAAACACAUGCAACUUUGUUCAUGAUUUGUCUAGGGAAUUAUUUCCCUGUUUUCGUUCCCUAACUAUUUUAGUAUCUAGUGGUUCCGUUUAGGUUGUUGAACAGUUGCUUUCAAUCACAUACACUAAGGACUAAGAGAAACUAAUCACCUGUUCAAUAUAUUCUGGUCAGCAUAUCUCGUGUUUCCCAUUAUUCGUGUCGACAUCAUUGUGUUCUCACUGUGGGCCCAACCUUUGCUAAGCCAAAUCCGAGAUUUUUGCAUUGUAGCUCUGUGAAAGCAAAAAAUAAACACAAAAGGUUUCAGAUACAUAUGGCUUUGGCGCUCCUUAAAAGCUUCAGAAUAAUUAUCAUAUCACAAUUACUUAACCUUAUGAGGCUUGAUCGUGUAAGAACGCACCUCAUCAAGUCAGUAUAUUAGAUGCUUUGAAGUUCCGGUGAAUGACUUGUUUCUUCCGACGUGUGCAAGAAAGCAAGGCCUCUUUGGCUGAGUCAAUGGCGAUGUUGAGCCGUAAGUCCCAAGACAGGGUCCGUUGCAGACCCCCUGCUGCAACCAAAAAGAAGAAGAAAACAAUCAGCAAUCAAUAUAAUCAUUACAUUAGCAAGUUUCUUGUUAUAUAUUUUUUCUUUUUAUGCUAUGGCUUACGCUCAAGUUCAUCCUACAUCGGAAAAGGAGGGUUUUUAAGCUUCCUCUAUGACUAAAAACUAGUUACAAGUAGCAGCUCGUGAUCCUCGAAACAGUCACCCACAGCUAACCAAGUUAGCGAUGAGAAAGGCAUCUCAACAAAUUACUUCCGACUGCAUUUCCAAAUAAAGAAAGGAAACCGGCCAUUAGACUUCACGAAAAAUUGAGAUCAAAGACACUUUUCAAAUCAUAAACUGAGGAUGACCAUGCUGGUGAUUAGAACUUUAAUUCUGAAAACCGUAGUUUAGAAUAUAAACAAAUAGAUAUUGCACGAGUUUAAUGCAGCGAGCGACUACUUAACUAAAAUACGAAUUGUCAUAUGUUGCCUUGAGUACAAUAGUUACCAUCAACUAAAGUUAAUUUGGGCACGGCCUAUGAUUUGAAACAAGUGAAAUCUGAGUAGAUAAAAGUACAAUUAUACUAGCUUAAUGUAAUCGUCACUAUCCUAUACCAUCAGUUCUAAAUUCUAUAUCUCCAAAAAAUAGUAACACAAAUCCUAGUCAAUUUAGUGUUAGAGAGGAUCGGUGUCAUUGAUAAUAGGUGGAGACUCUAGACUAGAUAUACUAAGUUUGAGGACAUCUAGGUGAGUAAUUUGCACAAAGUCUAACAUUUAGUCUUUGGAGCCCGUACAAAGUUUAUGCAGGCCUAAUUUAAGAUUGUUUCCCUAUGAGAUAUAUACAAAGCCGACCUUAAUGUGGGGCGUGGCUAAAGCCAUAGUACAUGCGCAAUCUCUACUAUCGUGAACUUGCAGUUAAAAGAAACCAAGCAAUCAAACACUAUAAAAGGGUGACCACAAGGCUUUUGGUACCCCUUGAAAACAAAUAUGUUCAACAUUCCCUUACAAGGUCCCAGUUCAUCCUAGACAAAACACCUAUUUAAGCAGUACCACAAAUGACUCAUAUAUGGCAUCGAGUAGUUACAAAAAAAGGCCACCCCAUGUGUCACAUCAAAGACCGUGACGCCUAAUUUGUAAAAAUUCAAAGAAUCCUAGUCCAUUUCACAACUGUUAGAUGGAAUCAACUUAUCACAAUGGGGGUGUAAAAUGUAAAUUACCGUUAUCAAUUCAGAUGACGUUUUAGCAAUUUAGGGUACCUAAUUCUCCCCUUGACAAAAUACAUUCUCAAAUCACCAAGUAUUAACUGUAAAAAACAUAUAAUUGCUAUUGGGCCUAUUACGCAAUAUAAAAUCCUAAUUGAGGCGGGACCCUAAAAUAGCGUUUCCAUAACUAUCUUAAAUAUUAUAGUUAUCGGGUAUCUCAUUAGCAUUCUGUAAAAAUCUAAAAACAUACUUAGAACUGACUCGCAAGUAGUAAAGAUUACCUUCCAUUCUUUAAAGUCCUGCACAAUUUCACGGUAUAGCCCUCUUGAUGGCAACAAACCAACCAGCUCCAACCGAGACGGUGACAAGUCGUCUCAUCGCCCAUCCCUUGUACACGGAUCCACAAACCACCACGUCCCAACAUCACUUCAUGCUCGAAACCUUGGUAGCACUCUUCAAUCCGAAAAACAUAAACCUCAGUUUUAGUCGAAGGCCAAGGCACGCACAAGGCUUGCCACCCCAUCAGCCAUUGUAGCGUCCAUGGACGAAUAUGUAAGCAUGUUGAAUAGCAACUUCAGCAAACAAGCUAGGCGCUUUGGCGUGGGUUUGGUCCCUCAAAAUGGGGUGAUGAUUGAUCGAGUGUUUUCUCUUUCAUGCACCUGUUGUUGCCAGAGGAUAGACUGGUUGGUCCUCGUUGAUCCCUUGAAACAACUGAAGGCCUCC